UACGUAGGGGGCAAGCGUUGUCCGGAUUUAUUGGGCGUAAGAGCUCGUAGGCGGCUUGUCGCGUCGUCCGUGAAAACUUGGGGCUCAAACCCCAAGCUUGCGGUCGAUACGGGCAGGCUAGAGUUCGGUAGGGGAGACUGGAAUUCCUGGUGUAGCGGUGAAAUGCGCAGAUAUCAGGAGGAACACCGGUGGCGAAGGCGGGUUCUC
rnacentral:rRNA from 1 species